AUCUAAUUUACGCAAUUUGGCUACGAUGGUUGAUGGGUUAGUGACUGAAGGUUCUCCUUCGCCUAAGGGGAGUUCGCACAUCGUGAAAGAUUUACUGUUUGAGAGGGAUUUGUUAACAUUGAUGGACAUCGUGAAGCGAAAUGGGGGUAAAAAUCAGUCUUCUACCUCUGAGAUCGUUUUGGGUAUGAGCCCUAGGGCUUCGAUUGGGGUUCAGUCCGAGGUCCCUACUCCUAGUUCCUUUGUCGAAGCUAUGGGUGGUCUCUGUUCCGAGAUCCGAGACCUUGCUCAGCAACAAAAGCUUUGUUUUGGGGGAGAAGUGGUGUCGAGCCUUGCCGUUGUUCAUUCGCAGCACUGCUACAUAUGUUGAGAUUGAGUUGCCUGUUCCAGCCGAUGCUACCAACCCAAAUGUUCGGACAUCAUUGGGAUCUGCUUCAUAUGCACCAGAAAAGGAUGCUUUGAUCUGGGAAAUUAAAUCUUUUCCUGGUGGUAAGGAAUAUAUGCUUAGAGCGGAGUAUACUCUUCCCAGCAUAACAUCUGAAGACGCAGCUUCUGAGAGAAAAGCUCCUAUACGUGUGAAGUUUGAGAUACCAUAUUUUGCUGUUUCAGGAAUCCAGGUACGCAUCUUUUGGACCUGAAUAUGCCUACCCACAGGGUGUCUACAAUCCUCACAUGGGUCAGCAUUACCUUCAAAUAUAUGGCGUACCAGGCAUAGUUAACACAAAUAUUGUCCCAUAUGGACAAAUGGGUCAUCUUUUCUCUG